UCCCCGGCUAGGUGCGGCGUCAUGAACCGCGCCGAAAAGAUGGAACCCUUACCGUCCUGCCGGGGUACUCAUAAAGGG
rnacentral:sRNA from 12 species